CUAAAUCAGGGUUGUGGUUCG
rnacentral:siRNA from 1 species